UGGGGGCCAAAUAUCUACACCUAAAUGGUGAAGUAGUCUUGGCAAUUGUUUGCUCUUUUUAAUUGAACAUCAAUCUUCAAAUUCCAUCAAUCCACCCCUUUUUUUCCUUUCCUUUCCCUUCAGCCUUGACUUUGGAUCCAAAAACGCAGAUAUCGAAACCGUUUUGCUCAACAGACUCUGUUUUCUGUUUUAUCAGUAGUGCGCUGCACACACACACCAACACUUAACAGAAACGGUUACAGCAACCGUAACAAAAAAAAAACAUGGGAGAAGAGGUUAAGAUCGCCGACUACCCAGGCGGCGGCGCCGACGACGAGCGCGUUUCCGAGUGGGAGCUUGGCCUCCCCUCUCCCGCCGACCUUCCGCCUCUCUCUCAGGCCCUGAUCCCGCCGGAGCUUGCCUCCGCCUUCAGCAUCUCCCCGGAGCCCUACCGGACUCUUCUCGACGUCAACCGCGCCUCGCAGGACACCAUCUCCGCAAUUCGCGGCGGCGCCUCCCAGGCCUUCUCCUCCAGCAAUUUCCAACUCGACGACCGCGCCACCGUGUUUGAGCCCGACGCCACGGCGUUUGCCGAUGAGGAAUUAGAGCCCGAUCGAGAUGGCUCCGGCUCUGAUUCCAGGAAGCUCCGGAAGAUCGACAGCGCCGCCGAGGAGGCCGAUUCGGCAGCGCCACCGGCCAACGACGAUCCUUCCGCCCGGUCAAUGAAGCGGCCGCGCCUCGUGUGGACGCCUCAGCUUCACAAGCGCUUCGUAGACGUGGUAGCGCACCUCGGAAUCAAGAACGCGGUUCCGAAGACGAUUAUGCAGCUAAUGAACGUAGAAGGAUUGACUCGCGAGAACGUUGCGAGCCACCUUCAGAAAUAUCGCCUUUACUUGAAGCGAAUGCAAGGGUUGUCCAACGAAGGUCCUUCUUCUUCUGAUCAGUUGUUCGCGUCGACUCCUGUGCCGCAGAGCUUGCACGAGUCCGGCGGUGCUGGCGGAAGCGCGGGGCAUUCCCAUGGAAACGGACACCUUCCGGUUCCAAUUCCGUUGCCGUAUCCAGCUCCUCCGGCGAUGAUGCCAAUGCCGAUGCUCGGGAUGCCUCCGAUGAGUAUGGCCGUAGGGAACCACCACGGAUUCAACCCGUUGGCGCAGCAACGGGAUUGGUCCGGUGCGAAUAAAUUUGGUUCCGUUGUUUCGUACCCUCAGAGUCACAGUCAGGGCGUCACUCCUAGUGAUAAAUGAAUUCCAACUUUUGAAUUUCUCAUCUCACUAUUAAAGAAAUAGAAUGAGUAAUAUGUAUGCAUCUUUGUUUAUAUUUUCGGUGUUUUCCAAUGUGAUUAUGCCGAGGGUGAGGUGAAAUGAUGCAGUUCUGUGAUGUUGUCGUCUAUGAUUGUGAAGAUUCAAAUGUUAAAUUAAUGGUCAUUCCUUCAAGUCAGUUUCGGAGGUAGCUCCACGGAUGAGCAACUUCAUAAUUCACAUGCAGACAUCAUGGAGCCAAAACUACAGUUUAAAUAGUACAUACCUAUUCAUUUGCAUCAUAUUGUAGCAGCAAUCUAUCAUGUGGUCUGCCCAAGUGACAGCUGAUUCUAAAGUAAAUCCCUAAUUUUUACUUUGAUUCAUAACUACUAUCUAUCUAUUACGUUUUGUACUCCUGAAUACGUUUGAUUCAUAAGGAAAAUAUUUAAGCCACGCAUUUUAUA